GCAGGGUAUAGACCCGAAACCCGGUGAUCUAGCCAUGGGCAGGUUGAAGGUUGGGUAACACUAACUGGAGGACCGAACCGACUAAUGUUGAAAAAUUAGCGGAUGACCUGUGGCUGGGGGUGAAAGGCCAAUCAAACCGGGAGAUAGCUGGUUCUCCCCGAAAGCUAUUUAGGUAGCGCCUCGUGAAUUCAUCUCCGGGGGUAGAGCACUGUUUCGGCUAGGGGGCCAUCCCGGCUUACCAACCCGAUGCAAACUGCGAAUACCGGAGAAUGUUAUCACGGGAGACACACGGCGGGUGCUAACGUCCGUCGUGAAGAGGGAAACAACCCAGACCGCCAGCUAAGGUCCCAAAGUCAUGGUUAAGUGGGAAACGAUGUGGGAAGGCCCAGACAGCCAGGAUGUUGGCUUAGAAGCAGCCAUCAUUUAAAGAAAGCGUAAUAGCUCACUGGUCGAGUCGGCCUGCGCGGAAGAUGUAACGGGGCUAAACCAUGCACCGAAGCUGCGGCAGCGAACGUAUCACCCAAGACAACUUUACGGAGUUGACGAUUGACGGAGCGAAGCGACGUCAAAGCGUUCAUUAAAGUCGAGUUGGCUUAGGGAUACGUUCGUUGGGUAGGGGAGCGUUCUGUAAGCCUGUGAAGGUGUGUCGUGAGGCAUGCUGGAGGUAUCAGAAGUGCGAAUGCUGACAUAAGUAACGAUAAAGCGGGUGAAAAGCCCGCUCGCCGGAAGACCAAGGGUUCCUGUCCAACGUUAAUCGGGGCAGGGUGAGUCGACCCCUAAGGCGAGGCCGAAAGGCGUAGUCGAUGGGAAACGGGUUAAUAUUCCCGUACUUGGUGUUACUGCGAAGGGGGGACGGAGAAGGCUAUGUUGGCCGGGCGACGGUUGUCCCGGUUUAAGCGUGUAGGUGUGUGUUCCAGGUAAAUCCGGUUCACUUUAACACUGAGGCGUGACGACGAGGCACUACGGUGCUGAAGCAACAAAUGCCCUGCUUCCAGGAAAAGCCUCUAAGCAUCAGGUAACACGAAAUCGUACCCCAAACCGACACAGGUGGUCAGGUAGAGAAUACCAAGGCGCUUGAGAGAACUCGGGUGAAGGAACUAGGCAAAAUGGUGCCGUAACUUCGGGAGAAGGCACGCUGACACGUAGGUGAAGUGAUUUACUCAUGGAGCUGAAGUCAGUCGAAGAUACCAGCUGGCUGCAACUGUUUAUUAAAAACACAGCACUGUGCAAACACGAAAGUGGACGUAUACGGUGUGACGCCUGCCCGGUGCCGGAAGGUUAAUUGAUGGGGUCAGCGUAAGCGAAGCUCCUGAUCGAAGCCCCGGUAAACGGCGGCCGUAACUAUAACGGUCCUAAGGUAGCGAAAUUCCUUGUCGGGUAAGUUCCGACCUGCACGAAUGGCGUAAUGAUGGCCAGGCUGUCUCCACCCGAGACUCAGUGAAAUUGAACUCGCUGUGAAGAUGCAGUGUACCCGCGGCAAGACGGAAAGACCCCGUGAACCUUUACUAUAGCUUGACACUGAACAUUGAGCCUUGAUGUGUAGGAUAGGUGGGAGGCUUUGAAGUGUGGACGCCAGUCUGCAUGGAGCCGACCUUGAAAUACCACCCUUUAAUGUUUGAUGUUCUAACGUGGACCCGUAA
rnacentral:rRNA from 1 species